UUACUUGUCUCGAUUUGGGUUGAUUUUUAAAUAAUUUAUAGUUAAUGUAUCAUAAUUAUUAUUAAAUUAUUUAUAGAAAUGAGAUGUUAAUCGUUUCCCAAGAUAUCUAGUUUCUUAAGAAAAAAUUUAAUUUUUUAAAGUUAUUUGUUUUUAUUUAAUUUUUUAAGUAAAAAUAUUAACUUAUUUAUUCUUUAAGGGAUAAGCUUUGAAGUUAAUAACCUAUAAUUUAUUUUAUAGAAAUAUAAUAGUAAGCUUUAAACCAGCUAUCUUUAAGAUUACGUUUUAGUUCAUUAUUUUUUAUUUUGAUUUUAUAAAUAUUUUAGGUUUUUUAUUAAGAUUAUUAAUUUAAUUUUAAAAUUUUUGUAAUAAUGAUAGAAUUAGUAUAUUUAUUUGUAUGAAAUUUUUACCUUGUGAACUUAUUAUAAGGAACUAGGCAAAAUUGAUUUCCGCCUGUUUAUCAAAAACAUGUCCUCUUGUUUAUAUUUUGAGGUCUGGCGUGCUCACUGAGCGUAUUUUUAAAGAGCCGCGGUAUUUUGACCGUGCAAAGGUAGCAUAAUCAUUAGUCUCUUAAUUAGUGGCUGGAAUGAAUGGCUUGACGAGAAAUCAACUGUCUCUUAAUAAAUUUUUGAAUUUAACUUUUGAGUCAAAAGGCUUAAAUUCUUCUUUAGGACGAGAAGACAUUAUAGAGCUUGACAUUUUACUUUUAUAUAGAUUUUUGUUUGUCUUUCUAUAUUUAAUGAUGAUGUUUUGUUGGGGUGACAUGAAGAAUAGAUAAACUCUUCAUUAUUAUAUCAAUUUAUGAUCAUAAGAUUAAGUUACCUUAGGGAUAACAGCGUAAUUGUUUUUGAGAGCUCAUAUCGACAAAGCAGAUUGCGACCUCGAUGUUGGAUUAAGAAAAAUUUUGGGUGCAGGAGCCCAAUGAUUAGGUCUGUUCAACCUUUAAAUUCUUACAUGAUCUGAGUUCAGACCGGCGUGAGCCAGGUCGGUUUCUAUCCUAAGAUUGUUAAUCCAUAUUAGUACGAAAGGACCAUAUGGUUAAAAUAUUUUUUGUUAUAUUGAUUAAUAUUAAUUUAUUUA